rnacentral:rRNA from 1 species
GAUGAACGCUGGCGGCGUGCCUAAUACAUGCAAGUCGAGCGAACAGACGAGGAGCUUGCUCCUCUGACGUUAGCGGCGGACGGGUGAGUAACACGUGGAUAACCUACCUAUAAGACUGGGAUAACUUCGGGAAACCGGAGCUAAUACCGGAUAAUAUAUUGAACCGCAUGGUUCAAUAGUGAAAGACGGUUUUGCUGUCACUUAUAGAUGUAUCCGCGCCGCAUUAGCUAGUUGGUAAGGUAACGGCUUACCAAGGCAACGAUGCGUAGCCGACCUGAGAGGGUGAUCGGCCACACUGGAACUGAGACACGGUCCAGACUCCUACGGGAGGCAGCAGUAGGGAAUCUUCCGCAAUGGGCGAAAGCUUGACGGAGCAACGCCGCGUGAGUGAUGAAGGUCUUCGGAUCGUAAAACUCUGUUAUUGGGGAAGAACAAAUGUGUAAGUAACUAUGCACGUCUUGACGGUACCUAAUCAGAAAGCCACGGCUAACUACGUG